GGAGUUGUGGCUCAAUGGUAGAGCGCUUGUCUAGCACAGGUGAAGCACUGAGUUCAAUCCUCAGCACCA
rnacentral:tRNA from 1 species